GAAGGCUGUACGCGGCUGUGCUCUCGGGCCAGUUUUGCGGAGGCUGAAUUAUUUAUUACCCUUGUCUUUUGCGCACUUGUUGUUUCCUGGGCGGGUUCGCCCGCCACCAGGACCACAUCAUAAACCUUUUUUAUGCAGUUGCAAUCAGCGUCAGUAUAACAAAUGUAAAUCAUUUACAACUUUCAACAACGGAUCUCUUGGUUCUGGCAUCGAUGAAGAACGCAGCGAAAUGCGAUACGUAGUGUGAAUUGCAGAAUUCAGUGAAUCAUCGAAUCUUUGAACGCACAUUGCGCCCUUUGGUAUUCCAAAGGGCAUGCCUGUUCGAGCGUCAUUUGUACCCUCAAGCUUUGCUUGGUGUUGGGCGUUUUUUGUCUUUGGUUGCCAAAGACUCGCCUUAAAAGGAUUGGCAGCCGGCCUACUGGUUUCGCAGCGCAGCACAUUUUUGCGCUUGCAAUCAGCAAAAGAGGACGGCAAUCCAUCAAGACUCCUUCUCACGUUUGACCUCGGAUC
rnacentral:rRNA from 1 species